AUAUUUAUGAAUACUGAGGGCCAG
rnacentral:siRNA from 1 species